CAUGCAGGCGGUUCGGGCGCGUUUUGUGUGACAGCGCAUGGCUUAACUAUGCGAGCAUACGAAAGACGGUCUGACUUGAGGGGCUCGAGAGGGACACGGAAUUCCGGGUGGAGUGGUGAAAUGCGUAGAGAUCCGGAGGAACACCGAAGGCCGAAGGCAGUGUCCUGGCGAGCGACUGACGCUGAGGUGCGAAAGCCAGGGGAGCGAACGGGAUUAGAUACCCCGGUAGUCCUGGCCGUAAACGAUGACCACCAGGUGUGGGAGGUAUCGACCCCUUCCGUGCCGGAGGCAACCCACUGAGUGGUCCGGCCUGGGGAGUACGGUCGCAAGAUUAAA
rnacentral:rRNA from 1 species